rnacentral:rRNA from 1 species
GAUGAACGCUGGCGGCGUGCCUAAUACAUGCAAGUAGAACGCUGAAGGAGGAGCUUGCCCUUUCCGGAUGAGUUGCGAACGGGUGAGUAACGCGUAGGUAACCUGCCUGGUAGCGGGGGAUAACUAUUGGAAACGAUAGCUAAUACCGCAUAACAGUAGAUAUUGCAUGAUAUUUGCUUGAAAGGGGCAAUUGCUCCACUACCAGAUGGACCUGCGUUGUAUUAGCUAGUUGGUGAGGUAACGGCUCACCAAGGCGACGAUACAUAGCCGACCUGAGAGGGUGAUCGGCCACACUGGGACUGAGACACGGCCCAGACUCCUACGGGAGGCAGCAGUAGGGAAUCUUCGGCAAUGGACGGAAGUCUGACCGAGCAACGCCGCGUGAGUGAAGAAGGGUUUCGGAUCGUAAAGCUCUGUUGUAAGAGAAGAACGAGUGUGAGAGUGGAAAGUUCACACUGUGACGGUAUCUUACCAGAAAGGGACGGCUAACUACGUG